AUACGUAGGGGGCGAGCGUUGUCCGGAAUGAUUGGGCGUAAAGGGCGCGUAGGCGGCCCGGUAAGUCUGGAGUGAAAGUCCUGCUUUUAAGGUGGGAAUUGCUUUGGAUACUGUCGGGCUUGAGUGCAGGAGAGGUAAGUGGAAUUCCCAGUGUAGCGGUGAAAUGCGUAGAGAUUGGGAGGAACACCAGUGGCGAAGGCGGUUUGCUGGCUGCAUACUGACGCUGAAGCGCGAAAGCCAGGGGAGCAAACGGGAUUAGAUACCCCGGUAGUCCUGGCAGUAAACGAUGUAUGCUGGGUGUGGGAGUAGCGAUACCUCCGUGCCGAAGUUAACGCGAUAAGCAUACCGCCUGGGGAGUACGGUCGCAAGAUUGAAACUCAAAGGAAUUGACGGGG
rnacentral:rRNA from 1 species